GGCUCAAUGGUCUAGCGGUAUGAUUCCUGCUUUGGGUUCCCAUGUAUGCAGGAGGUCCCGGGUUCAAUCCCCGGUUGAGCCC
rnacentral:tRNA from 2 species